rnacentral:tRNA from 1 species
GGCGAGAUAGCUCAACUGGCUAGAGCGUCCGGUUCAUACCCGGAAGGUUGAGGGUUCAAGUCCCCCUCUCGCUA